rnacentral:rRNA from 1 species
CGAGUUUGAUCCUGGCUCAGGAUGAACGCUAGCGGCAGGCCUAACACAUGCAAGUCGAGGGGUAUAGUUCUUCGGAACUAGAGACCGGCGCACGGGUGCGUAACGCGUAUGCAAUCUACCUUUUACAGGGGAAUAGCCCAGAGAAAUUUGGAUUAAUGCCCCAUAGUGUUAUAGAAUCGCAUGGUUUUAUAACUAAAGUUCCAACGGUAAAAGAUGAGCAUGCGUCCCAUUAGUUAGUUGGUAAGGUAACGGCUUACCAAGACAAUGAUGGGUAGGGGUCCUGAGAGGGAGAUCCCCCACACUGGUACUGAGACACGGACCAGACUCCUACGGGAGGCAGCAGUGAGGAAUAUUGGACAAUGGGCGCAAGCCUGAUCCAGCCAUGCCGCGUGCAGGAAGACGGUCCUAUGGAUUGUAAACUGCUUUUGUACAGGAAGAAACACUCCCUCGUGAGGGAGCUUGACGGUACUGUAAGAAUAAGGAUCGGCUAACUCCGUG